GGAGGCAGCAGUGGGGAAUAUUGCACAAUGGGGGAAACCCUGAUGCAGCCAUGCCGCGUGUAUGAAGAAGGCCUUCGGGUUGUAAAGUACUUUCAGUCGUGAGGAAGGGUGUGUAGUUAAUAGCUGCAUGCCUUGACGUUAGCGACAGAAGAAGCACCGGCUAACUCCGUGCCAGCAGCCGCGGUAAUACGGAGGGUGCGAGCGUUAAUCGGAAUUACUGGGCGUAAAGCGCAUGCAGGCGGUCUGUUAAGCAAGAUGUGAAAGCCCGGGGCUCAACCUCGGAACAGCAUUUUGAACUGGCAGACUAGAGUCUUGUAGAGGGGGGUAGAAUUUCAGGUGUAGCGGUGAAAUGCGUAGAGAUUUGAAGGAAUACCGGUGGGGAAGGCGGCCCCCUGGACAAAGACUGACGCUCAGAUGAGAAAGCGUGGGGAGCAAACAGGAUUAGAUACCCUGGUAGUCCACGCCGUAAACGAUGUAUACUUGGAGGUUGUGGCCUUGAGC
rnacentral:rRNA from 1 species